UACGAAGGGUGCAAGCGUUACUCGGAAUUACUGGGCGUAAAGCGUGCGUAGGUGGUUCGUUAAGUCUGUCGUGAAAGCCCCGGGCUCAACCUGGGAAUGGCGAUGGAUACUGGCGGGCUAGAGUGCGGUAGAGGGUGGUGGAAUUCCCGGUGUAGCAGUGAAAUGCGUAGAGAUCGGGAGGAACAUCAGUUGCGAAGGCGGCCACCUGGACUAGCACUGACACUGAGGCACGAAAGCGUGGGGAGCAAACAGG
rnacentral:rRNA from 1 species